rnacentral:rRNA from 1 species
UACGGAGGGGGCGAGCGUUAUUCGGAAUUAUUGGGCGUAAAGGGCGCGUAGGUGGCUUGGUAAGCGUGUGGUGAAAGCCUGGGGCUCAACCCCAGGUCUGCCGUGCGAACUGCCAAGCUUGAGCAUAGUAGAGGCAGGUGGAAUUUCGGGUGUAGCGGUGGAAUGCGUAGAUAUCCGAAAGAACACCGGUGGCGAAGGCGGCCUGCUGGGCUAUUGCUGACACUGAGGCGCGACAGCGUGGGGAGCAAACAGG